rnacentral:tRNA from 2 species
GGUAUAAUACUUUAAAAAAAAGGUUAAGUUUGCGUCUUAAAAUUAGACUUGUGUCUUUAUACUU